CCUACGGGUGGCAGCAGUCGAGAAUCAUUCACAAUGGGGGAAACCCUGAUGGUGCGACGCCGCGUGGGGGAAUGAAGGUCUUCGGAUUGUAAACCCCUGUCAUGUGGGAGCAAAUUAAAAAGAUAGUACCACAAGAGGAAGAGACGGCUAACUCUGUUCCAGCAGCCGCGGUAAUACAGAGGUCUCAAGCGUUGUUCGGAAUCACUGGGCGUAAAGCGUGCGUAGGCUGUUUCGUAAGUCGUGUGUGAAAGGCGCGGGCUCAACCCGCGGACGGCACAUGAUACUGCGAGACUAGAGUAAGGGAGGGGGAACCGGAAUUCGCGGUGUAGCAGUGAAAUGCGUAGAUAUCGAGAGGAACACUCGUGGCGAAGGCGGGUUCCUGGACAUUAACUGACGCUGAGGCACGAAGGCCAGGGGAGCGAAAGGGAUUAGAUACCCCUGUAGUC
rnacentral:rRNA from 1 species